rnacentral:rRNA from 1 species
GAUGAACGCUGGCGGCGUGCCUAAUACAUGCAAGUAGAACGCUGAAGGAGGAGCUUGCUCUUCUGGAUGAGUUGCGAACGGGUGAGUAACGCGUAGGUAACCUGCCUGGUAGCGGGGGAUAACUAUUGGAAACGAUAGCUAAUACCGCAUGACAACAGUUAUUGCAUGAUAACUGUUUAAAAGGGGCAACUGCUCCACUACCAGAUGGACCUGCGUUGUAUUAGCUAGUUGGUGAGGUAACCGCUCACCAAGGCGACGAUACAUAGCCGACCUGAGAGGGUGAUCGGCCACACUGGGACUGAGACACGGCCCAGACUCCUACGGGAGGCAGCAGUAGGGAAUCUUCGGCAAUGGACGGAAGGCUGACCGAGCAACGCCGCGUGAGUGAAGAAGGUUGUCGGAUCGUAAAGCUCUGUUGUAAGAGAAGAACGAGUGUGAGAGUGGAAAGUUCACACUGUGACGGUAUCUUACCAGAAAGGGACGGCUAACUACGUG